rnacentral:rRNA from 1 species
UACGGAGGGGGCUAGCGUUGUUCGGAAUUACUGGGCGUAAAGCGUGCGCAGGCGGUUUUGUAAGCCAGAUGUGAAAUCCCCGGGCUUAACCUGGGAAUGGCAUUUGGGACUGCAAGGCUCGAGUGCGGCAGAGGAGACUGGAAUUCCCGGUGUAGCGGUGAAAUGCGCAGAUAUCGGGAGGAACACCGGUGGCGAAGGCGGUUCUCUGGGCCUGUACUGACGCUGAGGAGCGAAAGCGUGGGGAGCGAACAGG